rnacentral:rRNA from 1 species
UACGUAGGGGGCAAGCGUUGUCCGGAUUCAUUGGGCGUAAAGAGCGUGUAGGCGGCCAGGUAGGUCGGUUGUGUAAACUGGAGGCUCAACCUUCAGAGGUCGACCGAAACCAUCUGGCUAGAGUCCGGGAGAGGAGAGUGGAAUUCCCGGUGUAGCGGUGAAAUGCGCAGAUAUCAGGAAGAACACCCGUGGCGAAAGCGGCUCUCUGGAACGGUACUGACGCUGAGACGCGAAAGCGUGGGGAGCGAACAGG